AAAGGAGGUCCAGUUGCCUAGACAGCCAGGAUGUUGGCUUGGAAGCAGCCAUUCAUUCAAAGAGUGCGUAACAGCUCACUGGUCGAGCGACCGGGCAUCGAUAAUACGCGGGCAUCAAAUCUAGUACCGAAGCUUUGGAUGUUGCUUUAUGCAACGUGGUAGGGGAGCAUUCUCCUUGCGGUGAAGCCGCCUCGUCAGGGGUGGUGUAGCGUGGA
rnacentral:rRNA from 1 species